CCUACGGGGGGCAGCAGUGGGGAAUAUUGGGCAAUGGAGGCAACUCUGACCCAGCAACGCCGCGUGAAUGAUGAAGGUCUUCGGAUUGUCAAGUUCUGUGAUGGGGGAUGAACACAAUGACGGUACCCCAAUAGCAAGCCACGGCUAAAUACGUGCCAGCAGCCGCGGUCAUACGUCGGUGGCAAGCGUUAUGCGGAAUGACUUGGUGUAAAGGGUGCGUAGGUGGUUUAGUAAGUUGGCGGUGUAAUUCCGGGGCUCAACCUCGGCGCUACCGCCAAAACUAGUAGUCUAGAGUGCAGGGGGGGUAAGUGGAAUACCUAGUGUAGCGGUGGAAUGCGUAGAUAUUAGGAGGAACAUCAGGGGCGCAGGCGACUUACUGGACUGUAACUGACACUGAGGCACGAAAGCGUGGGGAGCAAACAGGAUUAGAUACCCGUGUAGUC
rnacentral:rRNA from 1 species